rnacentral:rRNA from 1 species
UGGGGAAUCUUGCGCAAUGGCCGAAAGGCUGACGCAGCGACGCCGCGUGUGGGAUGAAGGUCUUCGGAUUGUAAACCACUGUCGGGAGGGACGAAGCUCUGACGGUACCUCCAAAGGAAGCACCGGCUAACUCUGUGCCAGCAGCCGCGGUAAUACAGAGGGUGCGGGCGUUGUCCGGAAUCACUGGGCGUAAAGGGCGCGUAGGCGGCCUGGUAAGUCGGGGGUGAAACGCUGCGGCUCAACCGCAGCACUGCCUUCGAGACUGCCGGGCUUGAGCACGGUAGAGGCUGGUGGAAUUCCCGGUGUAGCGGUGGAAUGCGUAGAGAUCGGGAAGAACAUCGGUGGCGAAGGCGGCCAGCUGGGCCGUUGCUGACGCUGAGGCGCGACAGCGUGGGGAGCAAACAGG